GACGAACGCUGGCGGCGUGCUUAACACAUGCAAGUCGAACGGAAAGGCCCUGCUUUUGUGGGGUGCUCGAGUGGCGAAGGGGUGAGUAACACGUGAGUAACCUGCCCUUGUCUUUGGGAUAACUUCAGGAAACUGGGGCUAAUACAGGAUAGGAGAUCCUGCUGCACGGUGGUGGUUGGAAAGUUUCGGUGGUUGGGGCUGGACUCGAGGCUUAUCAGCUUGUUGGUGGGGUAGGUGCUUACCAAGGGUUUGACGGGUAGCCGGCCUGAGAGGGUGACCGGCCACAUUGGGACUGAGAUACGGCCCAGACUCCUACGUGAGGCAGCAGUGGGGAAUAUUGCACAAUGGGCGGAAGCCUGAUGCAGCAACGCCGCGUGCGGGAUGACGUCCUUCGGGUUGUAAACCGCUUUCGCCUGUGACGAAGCGUGAGUGACGGUAAUGGGUAAAGAAGCACCGGCUAACUACGUG
rnacentral:rRNA from 1 species